rnacentral:rRNA from 1 species
CAGUAGCCGCGGUAAGACAGAGGUCCCGAGCGUUGUUCGGAUUCAUUGGGCGUAAAGGGUGUGUAGGAGGCUAGGUAAGUCAGGUGUGAAAUCUCACAGCUUAACUGUGAAACUACGCUUGAUACUGCUUGGCUAGAGGAUCGGAGGGGGUAACGGAAUUCAUGGUGUAGCAGUGAAAUGCGUAGAUAUCAUGAGGAACACCGGUGGCGAAGGCGGUUACCUGGAAGAUUCCUGACUCUGAAACACGAAAGCCAGGGGAGCAAACGGGAUUAGAUACCCGAGUAGUCCCUGUCUCUUAUAC